rnacentral:rRNA from 1 species
GAUGAACGCUGGCGGCGUGCCUAAUACAUGCAAGUCGAGCGAAUGGAUUAAGAGCUUGCUCUUAUGAAGUUAGCGGCGGACGGGUGAGUAACACGUGGGUAACCUGCCCAUAAGACUGGGAUAACUACGGGAAACCGGGGCUAAUACCGGAUAACAUUUUGAACCGCAUGGUUCGAAAUUGAAAGGCGGCUUCGGCUGUCACUUAUGGAUGGACCCGCGUCGCAUUAGCUAGUUGGUGAGGUAACGGCUCACCAAGGCAACGAUGCGUAGCCGGCCUGGGAGGGUGAUCGGCCACACUGGGACUGAGACACGGCCCAGACUCCUACGGGAGGCAGCAGUAGGGAAUCUUCCGCAAUGGACGAAAGUCUGACGGAGCAACGCCGCGCGAGUGAUGAAGGCUUUCGGGUCGUAAAACUCUGUUGUUAGGGAAGAACAAGUGCUAGUUGAAUAAGCUGGCACCUUGACGGUACCUAACCAGAAAGCCACGGCUAACUACGUGCCAGCCGCCGCCGUAA